rnacentral:rRNA from 1 species
UNUGACUUGAGUGCAGGAGGGGAGAGUGGAAUUCCAUGUGUAGCGGUGAAAUGCGUAGAUAUAUGGAGGAACACCAGUGGCGAAAGCGGCUCUCUGGUCUGUCACUGACGCUGAGGCUCGAAAGCGUGGGUAGCGAACAGGAUUAGAUACCCUGGUAGUCCACGCCGUAAACGAUGAGUGCUGGGUGUUAGGCCCUUUCCGGGGCUCAGUGCCGGAACUAACGCAAUAAGCACUCCGCCUGGGGAGUACGACCGCAAGGUUGAAACUCAAAGGAAUUGACGGGGGCCCGCACAAGCGGUGGAGCAUGUGGUUUAAUUCGAAGCAACGCGAAGAACCUUACCAGGUCUUGACAUCCCGAUGCUAUUCUUAGAGAUAGGAAGUUACUUCGGUACAUCGGAGACAGGUGGUGCAUGGUUGUCGUCAGCUCGUGUCGUGAGAUGUUGGGUUAAGUCCCGCAACGAGCGCAACCCUUAUUGUUAGUUGCCAUCAUUAAGUUGGGCACUCUAGCGAGACUGCCGGUAAUAAACCGGAGGAAGGUGGGGAUGACGUCAAAUCAUCAUGCCCCUUAUGACCUGGGCUACACACGUGCUACAAUGGUCGGUACAACGAGUUGCGAGCCGGUGACGGCAAGCUAAUCUCUGAAAGCCGAUCUCAGUUCGGAUUGGAGGCUGCAACUCGCCUCCAUGAAGUCGGAAUCGCUAGUAAUCGCGGAUCAGCACGCCGCGGUGAAUACGUUCCCGGGCCUUGUACACAC